CUGAGACACCACAGGGUGAAAUGGAAAAUGGAUAUUAAUAAAUGAAAGAGGUAUACAUAGACUCAUUAAUUUGGUACCACGUAAUGCAGAAAUAUUAUCAUCAUCUCUGGAUAUUAGCUUUUUCCUGUCUAUUAAACAAUCAAAACAGAACGUAGGUUUGACUGUUACACCAGUUCAGUAACCAUGGUUGAAGUACUUGCUGCUCAUUUUGUUCCAGAGGCUGCAAAUCCUGAAACCACAAAAGUGGGCGCAGUAUGCGUUACCUGGCAGAGUAGGAAGAAAGAGGUUAUGACUUUGCUAAGUUCUCCCCACCAUCCUUUGCGCUGUGAGAAGAAGCCAUUCUCCUAUAGUCUCCUGGGGCCUGUGUAUGAGAUUCAGCCCUCAGGAAUAUAUGAUGACAGCAUCUUGGCUCAUACAGAAGGAGGUUAAGAGAAGUGGCUGCCAUUUCCAGUUAAAUGUGGAUUGGUCACAACCCAGCAGACUCUGAUCUGAACAACCAAAGGGUUCAGGAUCUUACCCAGUCUGAACAGAAGGCUUACUCCCAUUUACCUGAAAAUGAAAUCAGGACUAUAACUGCAUCACCAUGGAUACAGGAUUUCAGGCACCACAGAAUCAGAUCAAACCAUCAUAUGAUGAAAGCAGAAAAAUCUCUGAUUAAGAAGGAUUAAAAAACUGAGUAAACUGUUGGAAAAGCCCAGCAACAGUGAAUUCUGUGGAGUAGAAACCAAAGCAAGAGAUUCAGUCUUCAGUGCCAUCUUGACCCAUAAGUGGCGCUGCUGACCAGCAACAUUGCUGUUCUGAAUCCCAUCCCACGUGUGGCUGUUUUCCAGGGAGCAGGGAAGAGGCAGAGCAGGUAUGAUUCCCGUCUU